GACGAACGCUGGCGGCGUGCUUAACACAUGCAAGUCGAACGGUGAACCGGGCUUCGGCCCGGGGAUCAGUGGCGAACGGGUGCGUAACACGUGGGCAACCUGCCCCAGACACUGGGAUAACUCCGGGAAACCGGGGCUAAUACCGGAUACUCUCAGCCGACCGCAUGACCGGCUGAGGAAAGCUCCGGCGGUCUGGGAUGGGCCCGCGGCCUAUCAACUUGUUGGUGGGGUAACGGCCUACCAAGGCGACGACGGGUAGCUGGUCUGAGAGGACGGCCAGCCACACUGGGACUGAGACACGGCCCAGACUCCUACGGGAGGCAGCAGUGGGGAAUUUUGCGCAAUGGACGAAAGUCUGACGCAGCAACGCCGCGUGAGGGAUGACGGCCUUCGGGUUGUAAACCGUCUUUGUUCAGGGAAGAUGAUGACGGUACCUGACGAAUAAGUCACGGCUAACU
rnacentral:rRNA from 1 species